rnacentral:rRNA from 1 species
UACGGAGGGUGCAAGCGUUAUCCGGAUUCACUGGGUUAAAGGGUGCGUAGGUGGGCAAGUAAGUCAGUGGUGAAAUCUCCGGGCUUAACCCGGAAACUGCCAUUGAUACUAUUUGUCUUGAAUACUGUGGAGGUCAGCGGAAUAUGUCAUGUAGCGGUGAAAUGCUUAGAUAUGACAUAGAACACCAAUUGCGAAGGCAGCUGGCUACACAAAUAUUGACACUGAGGCACGAAAGCGUGGGGAUCAAAC